rnacentral:rRNA from 1 species
CCUACGGGUGGCAGCAGUGAGGAAUAUUGCUCAAUGGACGAGAGUCUGAACCAGCCACGCAGCGUGAAGGAUGACUGCCCUAUGUGUUGUAAACUUCUUUUAUAUGGGAAUAAAAUGUUCCACGUGUGGGAUUUUGUAUGUACCAUAUGAUUAAGGCUCGGCUAACUCCGUGCCAGCAGCCGCGGUAAUACGGAGGAUCCGAGCGUUAUCCGGACUUAUUGGGUGUAAAGGGAGCGUAGGUGGAUGGGUAAGUCAGUUGUGAAAGGUUGCGGCUCAACCGUAAAAUUGCAGUUGAAACUGGCAGGCUGGAGUACAGGAGAGGUGGGCGGAAUUCGUGGUGUAGCGGUGAAAUGCUUAGAUAUCACGAAGAACUCCGAUUGCGAAGGCAGCUCACUGGACUGCAACUGACACUGAGGCUCGAAAGUGUGGGGAUCAAACAGGAUUAGAUACCCGAGUAGUC